GAUUCAUAGAAUUUGAUGAAUUGGUCAAAGCAAUUUUACCUGAUAUGAAUGAAGACAUGUUUGUAAAUCAAGAACAACUUUUAGAUGUUUUUCAAAUGUUCGAUCGUGACGGUAAUGGCUACAUUAGCGCUGCAGAGCUUGCUGGGUCCAUGGCGAAAAUGGGUCAGCCAUUAACAUAUACCGAGCUUACAGAGAUGAUCAAGGAGGCAGAUACAGA
rnacentral:misc_RNA from 1 species